CGGUGCGGAACGCGAACCGAUCUUUAAAAAUUUACAGCCGAUAAGUGUGGGCGCUUGAUGUGCUGAUGUGCGAGCCGGCCGCCGGGGUAACCUGGUAGCAGGCAAGGCAAAAGUAUCAGCAGUGAAGCGCUCGCAAGAAAGUAAAGGUGGGUUCUGGGUUCGCUGAAAGGUGGACGCAGGAUCUGUCAGCACUUUGAGUGAGCGACGCGACUCGAGAGAGUCGAAGACAGUAACAGGUAUUGAACUGAAGAGUUUGAUCCUGGCUCAGAUUGAACGCUGGCGGCAUGCCUUACACAUGCAAGUCGAACGGCAGCGCGGGGGUAACCCUGGCGGCGAGUGGCGAACGGGUGAGUAAUACAUCGGAACGUGUCCCGUAGUGGGGGAUAGCCCGGCGAAAGCCGGAUUAAUACCGCAUACGAUCUACGGAUGAAAGCGGGGGAUCGCAAGACCUCGCGCUAUGGGGGCGGCCGAUGGCAGAUUAGCUAGUUGGUGGGGUAAAGGCCUACCAAGGCGACGAUCUGUAGCUGGUCUGAGAGGACGACCAGCCACACUGGGACUGAGACACGGCCCAGACUCCUACGGGAGGCAGCAGUGGGGAAUUUUGGACAAUGGGCGAAAGCCUGAUCCAGCAAUGCCGCGUGUGUGAAGAAGGCCUUCGGGUUGUAAAGCACUUUUGUCCGGAAAGAAAUCACUCUCACCAAUACUGGGGGUGGAUGACGGUACCGGAAGAAUAAGCACCGGCUAACUACGUGCCAGCAGCCGCGGUAAUACGUAGGGUGCGAGCGUUAAUCGGAAUUACUGGGCGUAAAGCGUGCGCAGGCGGUGAUGUAAGACCGAUGUGAAAUCCCCGGGCUCAACCUGGGAACUGCAUUGGUGACUGCAUUGCUCGAGUAUGGCAGAGGGGGGUGGAAUUCCACGUGUAGCAGUGAAAUGCGUAGAGAUGUGGAGGAACACCGAUGGCGAAGGCAGCCCCCUGGGCCAAUACUGACGCUCAUGCACGAAAGCGUGGGGAGCAAACAGGAUUAGAUACCCUGGUAGUCCACGCCCUAAACGAUGUCAACUGGUUGUCGGGCCUUCAUUGGCUUGGUAACGAAGCUAACGCGUGAAGUUGACCGCCUGGGGAGUACGGUCGCAAGAUUAAAACUCAAAGGAAUUGACGGGGACCCGCACAAGCGGUGGAUGAUGUGGAUUAAUUCGAUGCAACGCGAAAAACCUUACCUACCCUUGACAUGUACGGAACCUUGGUGAGAGCUGAGGGUGCCCGAAAGGGAGCCGUAACACAGGUGCUGCAUGGCUGUCGUCAGCUCGUGUCGUGAGAUGUUGGGUUAAGUCCCGCAACGAGCGCAACCCUUGUCCCUAGUUGCUACGCAAGAGCACUCCAGGGAGACUGCCGGUGACAAACCGGAGGAAGGUGGGGAUGACGUCAAGUCCUCAUGGCCCUUAUGGGUAGGGCUUCACACGUCAUACAAUGGUCGGAACAGAGGGUCGCCAACCCGCGAGGGGGAGCCAAUCCCAGAAAACCGAUCGUAGUCCGGAUCGCAGUCUGCAACUCGACUGCGUGAAGCUGGAAUCGCUAGUAAUCGCGGAUCAGCAUGCCGCGGUGAAUACGUUCCCGGGUCUUGUACACACCGCCCGUCACACCAUGGGAGUGGGUUUUGCCAGAAGUGGCUAGUCUAACCGCAAGGAGGACGGUCACCACGGCAGGAUUCAUGACUGGGGUGAAGUCGUAACAAGGUAGCCGUAUCGGAAGGUGCGGCUGGAUCACCUCCUUUCC
rnacentral:rRNA from 1 species